rnacentral:rRNA from 1 species
GUGUCAGCAGCCGCGGUAAGACGAACCUUGCUAACGUUAUUCGGAAUCACUGGGCUUAAAGGGUGCGUAGGCGGCGCAGCAAGUCGGGUGUGAAAUCCCCCAGCUCAACUGGGGAAUUGCGCCCGAAACUGCUGUGCUAGAGGAAUAUAGAGGUGAGCGGAACUUAGGGUGGAGCGGUGAAAUGCGUUGAUAUCCUAAGGAACACCGGUGGCGAAAGCGGCUCACUGGGUAUUCUCUGACGCUGAGGCACGAAAGCUAGGGGAGCGAACGGGAUUAGAUACCCGCGUAGUCC